rnacentral:rRNA from 1 species
GAUGAACGCUGGCGGCGUGCCUAAUACAUGCAAGUCGAGCGAACAGACGAGGAGCUUGCUCCUCUGACGUUAGCGGCAGACGGGUGAGUAACACGUGAAUAACCUACCUAUAAGCCUGGGAUAACUUCGGGAAACCGUAGCUAAUACCGGAUAAUAUAUUUAACCGCAUGGUUCAAUAAUGAAAGACGGUUUUGCUUUCACUUAUAGAUUGAUCCGCGCCGCAUUAGCUAGUUGGUAAGGUAACGGCUUACCAAUGCAACGAUGCGUAGCCGACCUGAGAGGGUGAUCGGCCACACUGGAACUGAGACACGGUCCAGACUCCUACGGGAGGCAGCAGUAGGGAAUCUUCCGCAAUGGGCGAAAGCCUGACGGAGCAACGCCGGGUGAGUGAUGAAGGUCUUCGGAUCGUAAAACUCUGUUAUUAGGGAAGAACAAAUGUGUAAGUAACUAUGCACGUCUUGACGGUACCUAAUCAGAAAGCCACGGCUAACUACGUG